rnacentral:rRNA from 1 species
GCAAGCGUUGUCCGGAUUUAUUGGGCGUAAAGCGCGUGUAGGCGGCCAUACAGGUCCGUUGUGAAAACUCGAGGCUUAACCUCGAGACGUCGAUGGAAACCGUAUGGCUAGAGUCCGGAAGAGGAGAGUGGAAUUCCUGGUGUAGCGGUGAAAUGCGCAGAUAUCAGGAAGAACACCCGUGGCGAAGGCGGCUCUCUGGGACGGUACUGACGCUGAGACGCGAAAGCGUGGGGAGCGAACAGG